rnacentral:tRNA from 1 species
GCGAGUAUAGAAGAACUGGUAAAUUCAUUAGUUUUCCAAAUUAAAUUUUACGGGUUCGAGUCCCGUUACUCGCU